rnacentral:lncRNA from 1 species
CGAUGGCCGCCGACCCGCCGGGAGCUGCCGAGAAGGGAGAGAUGGCUCCCGGGACACGUGUGAGCCCUCGGCGUUGCUGACGC